CCUACGGGUGGCAGCAGUGAGGAAUAUUGGUCAAUGGACGCAAGUCUGAACCAGCCAUGCCGCGUGCAGGAAGAAGGCUCUAUGAUUUGUAAACUGCUUUUAUAGGGGAGUAAACGCAGAUACGCGUGUCUGUCUGCAUGUACCGUACGAAUAAGGAUCGGCUAACUCCGUUCCAGCAGCCGCGGUAAUACGGAGGAUUCGAGCGUUAUCCGGAUUUAUUGGGUUUAAAGGGUGCGUAGGCGGUCGUAUAAGUUAGAGGUGAAAGUCCGAGGCUCAACCUCAGAAGUGCCGUUGAUACUGGGCGGCUUGAGAGUAGUUGAGGUAGGCGGAAUGCAUGGUGUAGCGGUGAAAUGCUUAGAGAUCAUACAGAACACCGAUUGCGAAGGCAGCUUACUAAGCUAUAUCUGACGUUGAGGCACGAAAGCGUGGGGAGCAAACAGGAUUAGAUACCCCAGUAGUC
rnacentral:rRNA from 1 species